UACGGAGGGUGCAAGCGUUAUCCGGAUUUACUGGGUUUAAAGGGUGUGUAGGCGGACUUUUAAGUCCGUGGUGAAAUCUCCGGGCUCAACCCGGAAACUGCCAUGGAUACUAUUGGUCUUGAAUAUUGUUGAGGUGGGCGGAACGGGUCAUGUAGCGGUGAAAUGCAUAGAUAUGACCCGGAACACCGAUUGCGAAGGCAGCCCACUAAGCAAUGAUUGACGCUGAGGCACGAAAGCGUGGGGAUCAAACAGGAGUUAG
rnacentral:rRNA from 1 species